AGUAAAAGUCGUAACAAGGUCUCCGUUGGUGAACCAGCGGAGGGAUCAUUACAGAGUUAUCCAACUCCCAAACCCAUGUGAACUUAUCUCUUUGUUGCCUCGGCGCAAGCUACCCGGGACCUCGCGCCCCGGGGGGCCCGCCGGCGGACAAACCAAGCUCUGUUAUCUUCGUUGAUUAUCUGAGUGUCUUAUUUAAUAAGUCAAAACUUUCAGCAACGGAUCUCUUGGUUCUGGCAUCGAUGAAGAACGCAGCGAAAUGCGAUAAGUAAUGUGAAUUGCAGAAUUCAGUGAAUCAUCGAAUCUUUGAACGCACAUUGCGCCCAUUAGUAUUCUAGUGGGCAUGCCUGUUCGAGCGUCAUUUCAACCCCUAAGCACAGCUUAUUGUUGGGACUCUACGGCUUCGUAGUUCCCCAAAGACAUUGGCGGAGUGGCAGCAGUCCUCUGAGCGUAGUAAUUCUUUAUCUCGCUUUUGUUAGGCGCUGCCCCCCCGGCCGUAAAACCCCCAAUUUUUUCUGGUUGACCUCGGAUCAGGUAGGAAUACCCGCUGAACUUAAGCAUAUCAAUAAGCGGAGGAAAAGAAACCAACAGGGAUUGCCUUAGUAACG
rnacentral:rRNA from 1 species